GGGCCCGCACAAGCGGUGGAGUAUGUGGUUUAAUUCGAUGCAACGCGAAGAACCUUACCUGGUCUUGACAUGCCCGUCAUAGUUUUCCGAAAGGAAUUCGUCAGUUAGGCUGGACGGUGCACAGGUGCUGCAUGGCUGUCGUCAGCUCGUGUCGUGAGAUGUUCGGUUAAGUCCGGCAACGAGCGCAACCCUCGUUCCUAGUUGCCAGCGGGUAAUGCCGGGGACUCUAGGAAGACAAACCUCGUGUAGAGGUGGGAAGGUGGGGACGACGUCAAGUCAGUAUGGCCCUUACGACCAGGGCUGCACACGUGCUACAAUGCCCAGCACAAUGGGAUGCAACACCGCGAGGUUGAGCAAAUCCACAAAACUGGGCCCAGUUCGGAUUGGAGUCUGCAACUCGACUCCAUGAAGCUGGAAUCGCUAGUAAUCG
rnacentral:rRNA from 1 species